CUUAAAAAAAGAUACAAAAUGCUUUGUGUUUUGUUAUAUUUUACGGAUGAGGAUGCUGACAGUGAGGAGCCUGAUGAAGAAGACAUUGGAGCCAGAUCUCUGAAUGCAACCUCUGACAAUAAUGGUAUAAACAAAAACAAAAGCUGUGGAGGAGCUGCUGCAUCCACCAAAGAAAACGAGCUUGACCAACAGACAUAUAACAUCACAUGAAAAACUAAAGUGAUGCACAUUGUAUUGGACUUUCAAGGUAUUUGGUAUCGUGAUUCUGUGAGAUUAUCUCCCAAUGGCCAUAUCCUGUUUGUCCGCUUGACCGAGAGUGUAUGUGAAUGAAGACAUGUUUCUCAUGCUAACUAGGUCUAGUAGCCCCUUUUUGCCUGUGAUGGCUCUAGGUGCCCCAGCCCUAUUCUGUGAAUUGGUGGCCAUUGUUCUUGGUUCAAUCAAUGUCAGAGUCAAAUGUAAAUGUAUUGCCGUAGGGGUGGACCCUUCCUUAUUUAUAUGAUAAUGAAGUUGUCUGAGUAAUAUAGUUGUUAUGCUAAUUGGAUUAGGGGUAAUAGAAUUCAGAGUCUUCACCCACAGGAUGCUUUAGUUUCACCUGAAUGCUUUGUAAC